AACCGUGCGAACGUUGUUCGGAAUCACUGGGCUUAAAGGGCGCGUAGGCGGUUGAUCAAGUCUGGGGUGAAAUCUUUCGGCUUAACCGGAAAAGUGCCUUGGAUACUGGUCAGCUGGAGGGAGGUAGGGGCAGUUGGAACUUCCAGUGGAGCGGUGAAAUGCGUUGAUAUUGGAAGGAACGCCGGUGGCGAAAGCGAGCUGCUGGACCUCUUCUGACGCUGAUGCGCGAAAGCUAGGGGAGCA
rnacentral:rRNA from 1 species